rnacentral:lncRNA from 1 species
GGAUUUUGGUAACAAUAUGCUCUUAGCUCAAUUGGUGAAAGGAACAUCGUGCUAACAUUCUCCUUGAAAGGACAAUCACCUCGACUGUGGUCUGCGAGCGAACUGUAAGUGAAGUGAAGUGCUUCUCUUUUGUGUGGAAUUUGACAGUACUACUCUUUGAUCACAAUAUCUCGACUACAAUUUUUUUGUUUUUGAUAACCGUGGCGUUCAGGCCAACUUUCGCGCACCUCGACUAUAUCUACGGUCAAGACGCUUGAAUGUCACAAGCGGAAGCAACUAGUACUUUGAUCAUUCAAUUGACUCUUUUCUGCCAGUCCGUGCUUGCUGUCAUGCUGGAAAAAGCAGGGAUGUCGGUCAGUUAUACCUACUAUUGGAUUUUGAUCCAGGUAAUUCUUUUACUACUGUUGACCAUUCAGCAUAUAGAUUUGGCUGUUCAGACAUUCAAAUUUUCCACCAAAUAAAAAAUUUCACUUGAUUGCUCCAACAAAUCACUAAGCAUUGCCAUUCAAAUCAAUCAGUUAGUGUUUGUACUCCUUUCAAGUUAUAUUAAACCAUGAUCUUCUUCUCUUCCUUGACAACAUGCUUGAAGUUUCAUUUCCAAUAGAAAGAUGUGAAUUUGGUGGUAUGUCUGAACAAACACAAUAUAUAAUCACUUCAGAAGACGACCAUCCAACGUUUUGGGAAUCAAGUCGUCUUAGUUAGGAAUUGACGGCAAUAUGGUCUCCAUUGUUGUCUCAGUUAAGAGUUCUUAUUUAAUGAAUGUGAGUGUAGUUUUGCCUGAAUCAUAUCAAAAGACACUGUCCUUUUCCACCAUUCAUAUAAGGCUAACUUUUUUCGUUAUUUUACAUUUGUCUGUAUGCAUGAAGUUUCAUUGCAAUAGCAAUUCUCUGAAGUUUCCUUGGGCAAGGAAGAGGUGUUCCGGGGUAAUAAUUGUAUCCAAUCAGUGUCGAUAAAGGUCUUCCUUCAUCCCUCUACAUUCUGGCAGUCAUUAGUCAUUACUUCCUCUGUCUCUGAAUCAUGUAUGUACGACAUCCAUUUCUUGAACCAUGUAUAAGGAUCGGUGGUAAACUCAUCUAAGGGUGAAGUUCAGGCUACUAGGAACAACACAUACACAUUAAAAAAUUUCUUCUUGCUUGUUUAUUAGCUAGUUUCAGUUUGUUGUUAUCAUUGCAGGACUUGUUCAAUCAAUUUGCGAAAUCAUUUAGAAGGCAUGAAUUCUGGGAAAAAUAAAAUCUCUAAUGCACAAUGAGGUAUAUUUUGCCUAUUCCUUGUAAUAAAACUGCAUCAAGCUUGGACUUGCUUUGAGAUGUUGUAAAAGAGACCUAGUAUAGAUAGGAAUUGAUAAUUUUCUCAAGAAUGUUGAUAGCUUAAAUUAGUACUAACAUACCAC